UCAGACAACACUGAGGGAAAAUUGAAUACAUACAUACACGGGACGCGCCUGAUACCCAAACGCUUUGUUAAAGCCGCUCGUUUUCUGCCAUUGCAGUAUUAACUCUUCAUCUCUACUGUCUGGUGCUGAAAAGGACUUUAAGGGGUGAAGAUCCGAUUUUUAUUAUUUUUUAUUUUUUUGCAUUCUACUGGAUGAUCCUAACAAAGACGCUGUUGCCAUGACCACAGAUGAAGUGGAAAGUCACCAGAAAAAGCCAAAGCAGCAGCAGGAAGAAGCUGGCCAAGAUUCUCAGCUGCAUUGUCAUGAGGAUGGCAACCUCCAGCCUCAAAAUCAAAAUUCUACCAGCCGUGGUCUCUCUCGCCUCUUCUCUUCCCUCCUUAAACGGCGUUCACAGUAUGACAGUGAAGGAGGACAGAGAGAGGAUGAGGAAGAUGAAGCUAAAGCUCCUAUUGCUGAUCCUGAACCUGAAUUGAAAAUAGAGGGAGAGGUUGCCUUGGACCAACAUUCAGUCAGCAGUGCAGAGGUUCAGGCUCCUCAGGCUGAAAAGAAAGAUGCAACUGAGGACAUGAUUGGAAAGGUGGAGGAGAAGAAUGACCAAAAGGGAGAGGCAGUGGUUCUGGACAAGGAGGAGGACAAAGAGAAGGAAUUUGGUUCUGAAAGAAGGGGCAAGGAAGAUAAAGCGAAGACAACAGAGGAGGAGGCCAAGACACCCAGAGCUCCACGUCGACCAAAGGCACUGCAGAUCAAAGUCACACUGCUGGAUGACGCUCUGUUUGAGUGCGAGUUGGAUAAACAUGCCAAAGGCCAGGAGCUGUUCAUGAAAGUAUGUGAUCACCUUAACCUUCUGGAAAAAGACUAUUAUGGCCUGGCCAUCUGGGAGACCCCCACUAUGAAGACUUGGAUGGAUUUGACCAAAGAGAUUCGUAGGCAGGUGCAAGGGGCCAAUUAUAAUUUCACUUUUAAUGUGAAAUUUUACCCACCGGAUCCAGCCCAGUUGUCAGAGGACAUAACAAGGUACUACCUGUGUCUGCAGCUGCGGAAGGAUAUCCUACAGGGCCGCCUUCCUUGCUCAUUUGUUACCCUGGCUCUGCUAGGUUCUUAUGCCUUGCAGUCAGAGCUGGGUGAGUACGACCCUGAGGUGCAUGGCAAUGAUUAUGCUAAGGAGAUGAAAAUGGCCUCAGGUCAGACAAAAGAGCUGGAGGACAAAAUGAUGGAGCUGCAUCGUACAUAUAGGAUAAUGUGUCCAGCUCAGGCAGACCUGAUGUUUUUGGAGAAUGCCAAAAAACUCUCUAUGUAUGGGGUGGACCUUCACCAGGCUAAGGACCUGGAUGGUGUUGACAUCAUGCUGGGAGUUUGCUCAAGUGGCCUCAUGGUUUACAAAGACAAACUGAGAAUCAACCGUUUCCCAUGGCCCAAAGUCCUUAAGGUGUCCUACAAGCACAGCAGCUUCUUUAUCAAAAUACGACCAUCGGAGACAGAACAGUAUGAGAGUGCAAUUGGUUUCAAACUUCCCAAUUACAAGGCCGCCAAGAAGCUGUGGAAAGUAUGUGUUGAACAUCAUACCUUCUUUAGGUUAACUUCCACUGAGAUGGCCACCACCCCGAGAAAGUUCCUGGCACUAGGCUCCAAAUUUCGUUACAGUGGACGGACUCAGGCUCAGACCAGGCAGGCCAGCUCUCUGAUUGACAGACCAGCUCCCAUGUUCCAGCGCUCUUCCAGCAAGAGGAACUCGCGCAGUCUGGAUGGAGCAAUGGCCACUACACCAGACAACAAAUCUAAUCGUCCAGUCAGUGCCCCUGUUAUGUCACCAGUAUCUCCAGGUGAGGCAAAGCCAUCACCACUGCUACCCACACUGCCUCGCCAUAGCCAUUUUGAUGGCUCUACACCCAAAAGUCAACACCAUACAGAUUGGAAGAGAGAGCUAAAGACAGAAUGUAAGCCAGAGCACACCAAGAGUCAUAGCCCAAAGCCACAGUCUGCUUCAGAGAUAAAGACUGUUGCCAAGAGAGAGCGAAGGAACUCCUCAUCCAUGACCAAUAGGGCAAAAGAAAAAAAGAGCCAGCUCUCCGUUCAGGAUAAAAAGAUGGAAAUGGUUCGAGUAAGGAAGAAGAGACCCAAGAGACUUGAGGGAGAAACUAUUUAUAUCAGACAUAGCAAUUUAAUGUUGGAGGACCUUGAUAAGACCCAAACUGAGAUCAUGCGUCACCACACUAGUAUCAGUGAGCUCAAGAGAAGUUUUAUGGAGUCAGUACCAGAACCUCGACCCAGUGAGUGGGACAAACGCCUAUCUACCAACUCGCCACUCCGCUCAGUGAGCCUCAAUGGCCAGCUGCAACCAGUGUCUCCAGUUCUAAGGGCCCAAACGGUCACCAUCUCAGAUGUUACCAACUCUCUAAGAGGAACUGUGACUUACAAGGACAUUCCUUUAGUUCACACUGAGACAAAGACCAUCACAUAUGAGUCAGCACAGGAAAAAGUGGAGGUAGAUUACCUAGAUAAUAAACUUCAAAUGAAGACAGAUCAGUGGAGGCAAAAAUGUGAGUUAUGUGCACACUCAACCCAUGGAAGGUACUGGAUCCAGUCAAUAGGAUUGGUAGAGGUGAGACAUCUGAGUGUAGAUUUUAAUUUUUGGCUCAUUCUUUCUGUUUGAAAGAAUUGGACCAUCCUCAUUGGACUGAGGUUGGUAACCAGAUGUGAGUGUGACUUUGGUAUCCAGAACAGAGAAAAAAUGUUUCCAGACCUGAGAAAUGAACUGUGGACAAUAUUAUAGUAUUUCUUGGUGAAUGCCGUGGAGUCAGAAAACAUGCUUGACUAUUAGCUGAGUAGUCUGAAAGGCAGUGGGUAAUUUUCUGUAGGGAAUACGAUGACAAUAUUUAGGAAAACAGUCGAUAAUUGUAAAGAUGGUAGUCAUACCUUUAGAAUGUGGAGGUACAGUGAUGAAAUCGACCAAGACAGGGGCAUUUUGGUCUGGUUAGUGGCUAGAGGAGUCCGGCUGGACGUGUAUGGGAGGGCUUUUUACGUGCACAGACAGGAGAGGCUAGAACAUACUCUAGACAGCCACCAGAAGCAAUGGUAAAUCAGAGCUUAUUCCAGGGUGUGCAGAGAACUUGGCUGAGUGAAUCCAAUGAAUGAGGCGAGCUCAGACUGAAGUGGGGAUGAAUGUUCUGUUGGGAUUUCUAGUUAGGAUUUCUGAUUUCUGGCUCCAGGAUCAGUUUCAGUGAGGUGGGCUUGUUUAAUGGCAUCUUCAAUGUCCCAUGAAACUGCACCAAUGGUGCAAUCGGGCAGAAGGAUGGAACCUGAGUCUUGUAAUUAUCAGAAGAGACAGGGCAUCCGCUUUGGUGUUCUUACAACCUGGGCAAUAGGAAAUGGAGAGAUUAAAGCGAGAGAAAAUCAGAGACCAGAGACUAAUGGAUAUAUUUUUUUAUAGUUAUCUGAUUUAAACCACUGUAAUGUAGGAAAGGACAAAGAGAACCAUUCUUUUUACCCACAAAGAAAAAACCAGCUCAUAUCUAUCCUUAUGGGGAUAAUCUGGUUCUGUCUAUCUGCAAAGUUUCUGGAUUGUUCUGAGAAAUGUGGGGAGAAAUCUUGGAAUGACUAGAUGUAACAGGUAAGGAAACAAAUCUGGAGACAUGUCGUUUGGAUUUCUCUCAGUUUUGGUCACAUAUCCAAUUAUCUAAAUGGAUUGGCAGUGAGCUCAAUCCAAGGUGCUGGGUUCAUCCAAGCGAGCUCAAUCGUCUUUUAGGGAGUCAUUGAGAAGAGCGUGAAAAAUCCACUCUUCAAUGCAGCCAAAUCCCAACCUGAGGCUGAAGCUUUAAUUCUCAACUCGAUAGCAAAGUCAGUUACGGUUUGUUGUUUUUGUCUUACUGUCCACAAUUUUCUAGAUAGGGUUGUGUGGUCAGACUCUUAACUAAAUAGUUGUUUGAAUUCCAGCAAAAAAUCCUUAAAUGAACAGCCAAAAUUUCUUCUGGUCCUGAAAACGGGGCUCUGACCAUUCUAGAGCUUUGAAUGGUGAGAAGUGAUCAUUUUUAUGAAAUAUUGGCAUCAUCAUGAGGGAAACUUUAAGGUGAUCAAUUGAAAACUAGUGAGCAUUGUAAUGGAAACCCACCGAAACAAUCUAUAUCACCUUCAUAUUUGUCUGGUGUAGGGCUAGGGUUAACUGAUGUCACGGAAGGACAAGGGGGACAGCUGGAGAACCAGAACCAUCUGAGAAACUGGCACAAAGUUGGAGGUUUCUGCUGGCUGUGGAGAAGGUUGCAGUGGUUGGAGAUUCUGUUAGAGUUGAACUGAUGUUGAUUAGGGGUAUCUUAUUGUUAGCAAAGGGAUCUUAGGAUGGCAUCGUGGGAUUGAAUGAGAGAAUUCUGUUCUGCAAGCACAAUCCUGAGGGUCUGCUGGGUCAAUCUGGCCCCAUUGUUAUCUCAUGGUUUUAGGCAAACCUUUGGCCCAUAUGCAUAACACUCUCAGGAGGCAGAUAAAAAGAUUAAUAAAGUUUAUUGAAUAACAAUAAACUUAUAAAUUAACAGUAAACAGGAAUGGGAACACUGGAACAGAGUGGGAAAGCAGUGAGUACUUCGAACAACGGGGUAGAAUGUAGAUGAGAAAUGAAUAUCUUACUCAUAAUGAUAAGUCCAUGAGGGGGAGACAGAAAGAGACUUGAAUUGAACCUAUGUGGGGGAUCUUAGGGGAUCUUAGGGAGAUCUUGUGUAGGACCAGAGGGCAGAUGCAGAAUGGUGGAGACCUUGGAGUAUGGACAGGUUAUGCAGUGCUUGAAUCAAGGAAGAGGAGUGGAACAUUGCCAGUCGUGGCACAUGAACCACACGUUUUUCUCUGGAGUCUUGAGAUCACGAGGAGCAACCAGAAAGACCAGAAUCCAAGAAAUCACCAGUGGAAUUUUUACAGAAGAACACAAAUAGGUAAGUCGAGGAGAUAUCAAAAGUAGCACAUGGAACACAGUAUCGUUGGGACAUCAGAGGGCUCAGAGUAUCAUGUAGGUUAACCACUCAAGUUCUGAAGCACUGGCAACUAGCUCCUAUUGUCCUUGGCCUGAUGAGCCUAGUUGAUUAGCAGGCGUGUGAGUUUACUCAGCAGGUCCAACCUCCACAGCAGCUUCCUGGCUCCCUCUGGUGGAAACAGACCCCAGCCUCCUAACAGGAAUUUGGAGCAAGGAAGAGACAUUCAACCAGGCUCAUUAAGAAAAACUGAAAAAAUGAUUGAAGGUUUUAUUAAAAUAUGGAAAUGCAUUGUGUACUCUUUUUUUUUUUUAAAAAAAUGUAUAAAAAUAAGACUUUGAAAAGUGUGAAUAAAAAAUAUUGCCAAAUUAAGGUGAAAUAGAAGGAUCUGGUUGAUACUAAGUAAAAAGCAACUUGCUUAAGGGAGCAAAGGCCUCAAGCAGAAUCUUUAGAAGGACCCUGACUUAUCCCUACGUCCCCUGAUUCUUAACUCUGCAUAAUCAAAGGUCACGUCAACAAGUUGGAGAAAGGACUACACUGAAAAUGAAUUAAAAGUUGUUCCUUUCUCUGUUUCCCCCAACAAUGGUCCUUGAUGUUUCAGGUGUGUCCUUUCGUCAGCCAAACUAAUUUCAUUAGUGAAAUUAGUUUGUCUGAUUAACCACUAGAUUAACACCCGUUAAUCUGGUGGUAGAUUAAUGGGUGUUUGCUGAACUGCAAUCAGCUGAAACAAGUGCAUUAAAGCAGGGAAAAAUAUUAAACAUGCAGGGCAGUUUGGCUUCAGGGCCAGGGUUAGGAAACACUGUCCUAAAUAAACCAUAGGUGUGUAAAAACAAAUAGUUAUAUUUUGUGUGCAAAGCUUCUCUGCAGAAAUGGUCACAAUUUGUCUUAAGUUAGCUGAUGAAAUUUAUUUUACUUGUUUUGCACAGGAUGAUUCUUGAAAAUUUUGUAUAAAUAGCUGCAUGUUAACAGUAGACACAAGUUUCAUUAAUAAAUCAGUUGAGCUACAGUCCAAAGAAAAUCACUAAACUAAAUUAAACUAACAUAUUCCAUCCAUCCAUCCAUUUUCUAACACCCUUGUCCCUAGUGGGGUAAGGAGGUGCUGGUGUCUAUCUCCAGCUAACAUUCCGGGCGAGAGACGGGGUCACCCUGGACAGGUUGCCAGUCUGUCGCAGGGCAAACUAACAUAUUAUUGUUACUAAUAAAAUACUGUUUUCAUUGAAAUCUUAGUUAAUACACAGUAAGUGAUGCCUUUAAACAAAACUAACUUUUCAAAACAACACAAGAAUACAGUGUAAGAAUAAGAAGUACUGUCUGAGACCAGCAGUCAAAUUGUAGACACAAAUGAGAUCAGUAUGAUGGUCUUGAACAGUUAAUAAUCAAUGCAUUUCUCCGACAGCCUGUGGAAACCCUAGCAGAGAAGGAUUCAGGAGUGCUGCUGAGUGCCCAGACUAUCACCUCUGAGACUAUCAGCACCACCACCACAACCCAGAUCACUAAGACGGUGAAAGGAGGAAUUUCUGAGACUCGAAUUGAGAAGAGAAUUGUCAUCACUGGAGACACAGCAAUUGAUCAUGACAAGG